rnacentral:tRNA from 1 species
GCGGCAGUUCAGCGGCGCCGGCAGCGCGAGCUGUAGCAGGUAAGAAAAUCCGCCGCCGCAAGGCGUACCGGUUCGACUCCGGUCAGGCGCACCA